UACAGACAAGAUGACAGGAAAUUAUGGUUGUUGUAUUACAUAUUGAUAACUUCAAACUGGUUACUCAGGAAAACAAAUAUAGACAUGCAAGAUUGUCAAAUAAUUAAUCGUUAACUGUUCCUUUCAGUAAAGCUUGUUAACAAUAUAUUUUUAAAUGUUAGAUAUUUUACUUCUAACUUUUCUGUAAAACAUAGUUAUUAUUAUUACUUUUAAUGUAAAUGGCUAAUUUUCUUUAAGGAGAUAAUUGAAAAUUUCAGAUAUUUACUGACAAAUUUCCUUUUUCUGGUGCUUAUGAUGAUUUUCAUCUGGUAUCACUCCCUUUAACAAAGUUCUUUCAAUGAUUUUUUGUAGUGGAGAUUGACCUUCACGUUUUUACUCUCUAAAACUGAUUCCGUGAGACACUUCUUCUCACAGUAAAACCGAUGGAGAAGCGAUGAAUCCGUUGUUUGCUGCGGGCUUCUUGGAAAUGGGCAUGCUCCCCCGACUGCACAGGACAGGAAGUGGUGUAACUCUUCGGAAUGCUGUAGUAUAGCAUAAAACAACUUAAAAACAGAGAUGUUUUUACCUACAGAGAAAAGCAAGACAUACAUCAAAUUUUGGCAAAGGGAAAGCACGGUCAAAAUGAAGUUGCCCUGGUCAGAAAACUCCGUAGGCGAUGCCGCAGGACCUGGAGCUGUGCGGGUGCUGUGCAGACUUUUGCAGAGUGACGCGGCGCCCCUGCCUUCGUGCGGGGGGGAACGUCCGGGACCGCGUCCCGCAGUUCACGCCGUCGGGCCUGGGCGAGUGCUGGUGGAGCGCCGUGCCAAGUUUGCGGGCGGCUGCAGCCCUGCGCCCGCC
rnacentral:lncRNA from 1 species